CACGUAGGGCGCAAGCGUUGUCCGGAAUUAUUGGGCGUAAAGAGCUCGUAGGCGGUUCUGUGCGUCCGCUAGUCGAAAACUCGGGGACUUAACCCCGGAGCCUGCAGUGGAUACGGGCAGACUAAGAGGUAUGCAGGGGUAGAACGGAAGGUUCCAUGGUGGUAAGUGGUAGGUAAAUGCGCAGGAUAAUAGGAGGGAACACCGGUGGCGAAAGGGCGGGAUUCUCCGUGGGGCAAGUUGACCUG
rnacentral:rRNA from 1 species